rnacentral:rRNA from 1 species
UGGGGAAUUUUCCGCAAUGGGCGCAAGCCUGACGGAGCAAUACCGCGUGAGGGAGGAAGGCUUUUGGGUUGUAAACCUCUUUUCUCAAGGAAGAAGCACUGACGGUACUUGAGGAAUCAGCAUCGGCUAACUCCGUGCCAGCAGCCGCGGUAAUACAGAGGGUGCAAACGUUGCUCGGAAUGACUGGGCGUAAAGCGCGCGCAGGUGGCCCGUUAAGUCGGCUGUGAAAUCCCCUGGCUCAACCAGGGAAGUGCAGUCGAUACUGGCGGGCUCGAGUCCCGGAGAGGGUGGUAGAAUUCCCAGUGUAGAGGUGAAAUUCGUAGAUAUUGGGAGGAAUACCGGUGGCGAAGGCGACCGCCUGGACGGGUACUGACACUGAGGCGCGAAAGCGUGGGGAGCAAACAGGAUUAGAUACCCCUGUAGUCC